CCUACGUGGCGCUGCAGUGGGGAAUAUUGCACAAUGGGGGAAACCCUGAUGCAGCGACGCCGCGUGAGUGAAGAAGUAAUUCGUUAUGUACAGCUCUAUCAGCAGGGAAGAAAAUGACGGUACCUGAGUAAGAAGCCCCGGCUAACUACGUGCCAGCAGCCGCGGUACUACGUAGGGGGCAAGCGUUAUCCGGAUUUACUGGGUGUUAAGGGAGCGUAGACGGCAGUGCAAGUCUGGAGUGAAAGGCGGGGGCUCAACCCCCGGACUGCUCUGGAAACUGUACGGCUGGAGUGCAGGAGAGGUAAGUGGAAUUCCGAGUGUAGCGGUGAAAUGCGUAGAUAUUAGGAGGAACACCAGUGGCGAAGGCGGCUUACUGGACUGUAACUGACGUUGAGGCUCGAAAGCGUGGGGAGCAAACAGGAUUAGAUACCCGUGUAGUC
rnacentral:rRNA from 1 species